rnacentral:rRNA from 1 species
AUUGAACGCUGGCGGCAGGCUUAACACAUGCAAGUCGAGCGGGGUGAUGGUGCUUGCACUAUCACUUAGCGGCGGACGGGUGGGUAAUGCUUAGGAAUCUGCCUAUUAGUGGGGGACAACAUCUCGAAAGGGAUGCUAAUACCGCAUACGUCCUACGGGAGAAAGCAGGGGAUCACUUGUGACCUUGCGCUAAUAGAUGAGCCUAAGUCGGAUUAGCUAGUUGGUGGGGUAAAGGCCUACCAAGGCGACGAUCUGUAGCGGGUCUGAGAGGAUGACCCGCCACACUGGGACGGAAACACGGCCCAGACUCCUACGGGAGGCAGCAGUGGGGAAUAUUGGACAAUGGGGGGAACCCUGAUCCAGCCAUGCCGCGUGUGUGAAGAAGGCCUUAUGGUUGUAAAGCACUUUAAGCGAGGAGGAGGCUCUUUUGGUUAAUACCCAAGAUGAGUGGACGUUACUCGCAGAAUAAGCACCGGCUAACUCUGUGCCAGCAGCCGCGGUAA